rfam:Brassica napus, WGS project CCCW01000000 data, contig: 9494
UCGCUACGUAGCGACCGAGCGGGACGAUCGCUCUUGAACUUCUCCCAUGCUUCACUUAAGCUCUCUAGAUUCUUCUGUUGAAACCAUGAUAUUUCAUUCCUGAUCUU